UACGUAGGGGGCUAGCGUUGUCCGGAAUCAUUGGGCGUAAAGAGCUCGUAGGCGGUCUGUUACGUCUGCUGUGAAAACCCAGGGCUUAACCCUGGGCUUGCAGUGGAUACGGGCAGACUAGAGGCAGGUAGGGGAGAAUGGAAUUCCCGGUGUAGCGGUGAAAUGCGCAGAUAUCGGGAGGAACACCGGUGGCGAAGGCGGUUCUCUGGGCCUGACCUGACGCUGAGGAGCGAAAGCGUGGGGAGCGAACAGG
rnacentral:rRNA from 1 species